rnacentral:rRNA from 1 species
UACGGGGGGAGCAAGCGUUGUUCGGAUUUACUGGGCGUAAAGGGCGCGUAGGCGGUCAGUGCAGGUCAGUUGUGAAAUCUCCGGGCUUAACUCGGAAAGGUCAACUGAUACUGCUCGACUAGAGUGCGGAAGGGGCAACUGGAAUUCUUGGUGUAGCGGUGAAAUGCGUAGAUAUCAAGAGGAACACCUGCGGCGAAGGCGGGUUGCUGGGCCGACACUGACGCUGAAGUGCGAAAGCCAGGGGAGCGAACGGG